rnacentral:tmRNA from 1 species
GGGGAUGAUCGGUUUCGACGAUGUGGGUUGAGAUGGGUGAAGCGUGCCGAGGACGCAGGGUUAUCUCGUUAACGCCCUCUGCAAAAAAAAUAAGUGCAAAAUCUAAGCGCACUGACUUCGCACUCGCUGCCUAAGCGCGAGUUGCAGUCUGUCGGUCUGAGCAUGCCUUUGGCUCAGAACCCGGCAUCGACUUAAAAGGCCACUGCUGUUAGCCCUCGUCGUAGGGGCUGAUGGGACUUUUAUUACGAAUAGGUUUGUCGAUGUAAGUGUUUGUGCAAACAUCGGAGCCGAGAAAUAGCGCUUUCACAAACUGCGCACGGAGAAGCCCUGUUGAAGCCACAUCGGACCGGGGUUCGAUUCCCCGCAUCUCCACAA